AGAGUUUGAUCCUGGCUCAGAAUCAACGCUGGCGGCGUGCCUAACACAUGCAAGUCGAACGAGAAAGUGGAGCAAUCCAUGGGUAAAGUGGCGACCGGGUGAGUAACACGUGACUAACCUACCUUCAAGUGGGGGAUAACCUCGGGAAACCGGGGCUAAUACCGCAUAACAUCUUCGGGAUGAGAAGCCGAAGAUCAAAGGAGCAAUUCGCUGGAAGAGGGGGUCGCGGCUGAUUAGCUAGUUGGCGGGGUAACGGCCCACCAAGGCUUUGAUCGGUAGCCGGCCUGAGAGGGCGCACGGCCACACUGGAACUGAAACACGGUCCAGACUCCUACGGGAGGCAGCAGUGGGGA
rnacentral:rRNA from 1 species